CGGGUGAGUAAUGCAUAGGAAUCUACCUAGUAGUAUAGGAUAGCCACCAGAAGUGGUGGGUAAUACUGUAUAAUCCCUGCGGGGGAAAGAUUUAUCGCUACAUGAUGAGCCUAUGUUAGAUUAGCUAGUUGGUGGGGUAAUGGCCUACCAAGGCAGUGAUCUAUAGCUGGUCUGAGAGGAUGAUCAGCCACACUGGAACUGAGACACGGUCCAGACUCCUACGGGAGGCAGCAGUGGGGAAUAUUGGACAAUGGGCGCAAGCCUGAUCCAGCUAUGCCGCGUGAGUGAGGAAGGCCUUAGGGUUGUAAAACUUUUUCAGUGGGGAAGAUAAUGACGGUACCCACAGAAGAAGUCCCGGCAAACUCCGUGCCAGCAGCCGCAGUAAUACGGAGGGGGCAAGCGUUGUUCGGAAUUAUUGGGCGUAAAGGGCAUGUAGGUGGUUUGGUUAGUUAAAGGUGAAAUGCCAGGGCUUAACCC
rnacentral:rRNA from 1 species